UCAUUUCAAGCAGACGCCAAGCAUCAAUAGCGUGGUCUGUGCUAUGUGAUUGCAUUGUUACUGCUGGAGUGAGCAAUUUCAGAUUGCGUCAUGAUGGCGUGCCCCGUUAGCGUCGUGAUCGGCGUGCCCUGUUAGCGUCAUGAUUGGCGUGCCCUGUGUUAGCGUCAUGAUUGGCGUGCCCUGUGUUAACACGAUAUGUUUUAUUUAUUCGUGUGCUGUGAUUUCAACACCAGCAUUGGUCAGAGGAGACUCGCAAGCAGCAAGGAAAGGAGGCUGCUCUUCAUCAGCCAGAAGUUUGAUACAAAGGAGUACACAAGUUGAUUUCAUUACUUUUAAG